AGAUUGAACGCUGGCGGCAUGCCUUACACAUGCAAGUCGAACGGUAGAGUAGCAAUACUCGAGAGUGGCGAACGGGUGAGUAAUAUAUCGGAACGUGCCCAAUCGUGGGGGAUAACGUAGAGAAAUUUACGCUAAUACCGCAUACGAUCUAAGGAUGAAAGCGGGGGAUUCGCAAGGACCUCGCGCGAUUGGAGCGGCUGAUAUCAGAUUAGGUUGUUGGUGAGGUAAAAGCUCACCAAGCCGACGAUCUGUAGCUGGUUUGAGAGAACGACCAGCCACACUGGGACUGAGAC
rnacentral:rRNA from 1 species